rnacentral:rRNA from 1 species
CUUGGUCAUUUAGAGGAAGUAAAAGUCGUAACAAGGUUUCCGUAGGUGAACCUGCGGAAGGAUCAUUAAUGAUUGCGAAUGGUUGCCUUCGGUGCUGGCUCUUGCAAGUGCACGUUGGUGGCUUUCAUCCAAUACCCCUGUGAACCUUUGGCCUCUUGCUAGCUUCGGCGUGCAGAGGAUUUUUACACACUCGAAUGUAAUGAAAACUAUUGUCGUGCGCAAGCACUAAUGUACAACUUUCAACAACGGAUCUCUUGGCUCUCGCAUCGAUGAAGAACGCAGCGAAAUGCGAUAAGUAAUGUGAAUCGCAGAAUUCAGUGAAUCAUCGAAUCUUUGAACGCACCUUGCACCCUUUGGUAUUCCGAAGGGUAUGCUCGUUUGAGUGUCAUUGUACUCUCACACUCUCUGAUCCUUUGGAUUCAGGGAGUGGUGGACUUGGGUGUUUGCUGCUUUCCCGGUGGCUCACCUCAAAUGCGUUAGUGCACCUCUUGGUUGGACAUAGUACGGCGUGAUAAGUAUCUUCGCCGGCACCUCGCAAGAGGGUGGCCGAUUGGGAGCUCUGUGCUUUCAAACCGUCUUCGGACAAUCUUGACAACUUGACCUCAAAUCGAGUAGGACUACCCGCUGAACUUAAGCAUAUCAAUAAGCGGAGGA